GAUGAAGAACGUAGUGAAAUGCGAUACGUAAUGUGAAUUGCAAAUUCAGUGAAUCAUCGAGUCUUUGAACGCACAUUGCGCCCCCUGGUAUUCCGGGGGGCAUGCCUGUCCGAGCGUCAUUGCUGCCCUCAAGCACGGCUUGUGUGUUGGGCCUCCGUCCUCCUCCCGGGGGACGGGCCCGAAAGGCAGCGGCGGCACCGCGUCCGGUCCUCGAGCGUAUGGGGCUUCGUCACCCGCUCUUGUAGGCCCGGCCGGCGCUUGCCGACACAUCAAUCUUUUUUCCAGGUUGACCUCGGAUCAGGUAGGGAUACCCGCUGAACUUAAGCAUAUCAAUAAGCGGAGGA
rnacentral:misc_RNA from 1 species